rnacentral:rRNA from 1 species
UACGUAGGGUGCAAGCGUUAAUCGGAAUUACUGGGCGUAAAGCGUGCGCAGGCGGUUGUGCAAGACCGAUGUGAAAUCCCCGGGCUUAACCUGGGAAUGGCAUUGGUGACUGCACGGCUAGAGUGUGUCAGAGGGGGGUAGAAUUCCACGUGUAGCAGUGAAAUGCGUAGAGAUGUGGAGGAACACCGGUGGCGAAGGCGGCAUCCUGGACCGGCAUUGACGCUGAGGCGCGAAAGCCAGGGGAGCAAACGGG